rnacentral:lncRNA from 10 species
UCCCAGUAGACCAAUUGAUCUGAGUUGCCUCUCUGGCCAGAAGCCAGCCCUGGCAGGGAUCCAACUUCCUCUCAAGCACUGAGAAAGGGCUCAGGUGUAUCUGGUGGCCGGCAGAGCAGGUAGUCAGCCAAGGCUUCAUAGUUCUCACCCACGGCAAUUCAGCUAGCAAACUAGAGACACUUCCCCAAGAAGACACAGCGUGGCAAGACUGCUGAGACGCAUAAAGAAAUCUUAGCUGGAAUGCCUUCUCAGAAUCUUGAUUUUCAAAGUGAUGGAUUGGGAGAUCCCAAGCCAUGAAUGUUUCCUGGUUGAAUGUUCUGUUGUAGAAGAAUGCAACUGAGUUUUCUAAACAGAUCUUCUUCUUGACAUCCUUGCUGAACGAAAGUGACCGGCCCUCUUUAAGACUCAGUGUGCUUACCUCUGAAAUGGAGCUGUCAAUCACAUCUGCCUCACAGGCUUGUUCUGAGGAUGAAGUGAGAAAAUGCCCACGAGGUGCUGGUUGCAGCAGCUGGUGCAUAGAGCUUAAAAAGGAUGCAGUCCCAAAACAUAGAAGGAUUUACUCCAGAUCCAAGCAAUGAGUCAGGAACAGAAAGCCUGAUGCCCUCACCUGGAACUCUCCCUCCUCCCUGGAUGAGGACCUUCCCCAGAAUUGCAGGGCACCCACACAAGACCAAGCAAGUUCAGAGAAAAUUGAAACCUGACUUUAGAGCCUCUGGGAUGUUCACUACACCUCAUUGAACCUGUUUGGUUCACAGAGCUCCAACUACCGUCUACUUCCUGCAACUGGCCUGCUGCCAACUCCCCAGAUCUCUUGUGGAGCUGCCGGAAGAGACAGCCUGCCACAGAAGAAAGCAGCCCUCCUCUUUCAUGGCCUCCCACAUCUUGAAACAAACACAAGCAAACAAAACAAAAGCUUGAGUCCCAGCCUGAUUCACCAGGUUUGGUUCCCAAUUGUUGAAAUUCCCUUCCCAGGGCUCUCAGAACCAGGGUUGGCUGGAGGGGUGAAAGAGGCUGGCCCUGAGCCCAGUAAUAGGACACCAAGGGGGAGCUAAAAGCUGGGAUCUGGGGUGAAGAUGGGGUCUUCCAAGCUGGGAGGCAGACACCAGGCCAGAGCAACCGGCCUGCCCCAGCUCAGGCCUCUUAACCCAUGCAGGGCAAGAGUAUAAACAGAGGCCACGGACCACAUGCCUCAGUAUUUAAACUUAUAAAUCAAGCUAACAUAACAUGAAAUCAAAUAUGUUCUAUCCUCCUAGCUUGACAAAUACUUUCAUAACGAGAUGGAAUGCCAGGUUCAGAUUUAGAAUUUUCACACUCCUUAAAGUUCCAAGUCAAAAUACAGCAUUAGGGGAGGGCCCCCAACCUCGAGGUCUCCCCUCCCCCAUUUUCUUUCACUCCCAGCUCUGUCUCACACCACGAGGGAUCUUGGGUGAAUGCCCCUCGAUACCCCAGCCCCCCACAAACAGCUGCCCUUUCCCCCCUUGGCCAAGGGUAAGCACAGCAGCAGGGCAGUCUGCCCUUGGCUGGAGAGAUGGAAGGAGAGGCCACACGGGCCCUGAAAAUGCAUUUGGGGACUCUUGGGCAGGAAACUUGGGAGUUUCUGGAGCCUCAAGGAGGGUCUAGUGGGACAGAGCCACUUGGGCCCAUGAGAUCCUUGACCCAUGGAGAAGGGUAGGGCUAGAGGAGGGCCAGGGCAGGCCCUAUGAACAGAAGAACCUAGAGUAACUGCCCUGUCCCCAGAUCCUGUCACCGAGCAGGUAUACUUGGGAGGGUAUUGGAGGGUGGAACCCAAGGGAGCUUGCCCAAGGCACUAGGAAAGAAAAGUGUAAACCUUGUUAGAGAAUGCUAAGGAUAGCUGUUAAAGCCUCAGAGAUUUUACUCAUUUUUGGCUGUUUCUAAAAAUCUUCCCCCAAAGGAAGAUCUUGCUCUCAUUGAGGAUCUGAGAAAGAAUUCUCUCCAAGUAGUUUCAAAACAUUCUGAUGUAAAAACUCUGGUGUGUUAGUCAAAAAUAAAUUUUGUUGCUUGAUGGCUUCACCAUUCACAAAAUAUUCUAUCCAUCCAAUUUAAAAAUAAGAGCAGGGUAUUUAAAACUCUUUCAAUAAACACAAAUUAAAACAAUGAAGCUUG